rnacentral:rRNA from 1 species
UACCCGCGGCUAGACGGAAAGACCCCGUGAACCUUUACUAUAGCUUCACAUUGGUAUUGGGUAAAUGAUGUGUAGGAUAGGCGGGAGACUUUGAAGCAGUGUCGCUAGGCAUUGUGGAGUCGUUGGUGAAAUACCGCCCUUUAUUUAUCUGAUGCCUAAUCCGGAGACGGAGACAGUGUGUGGUGGGUAGUUUGACUGGGG